rnacentral:rRNA from 1 species
AUCCUACGGGACGCAGCAGUGGGGAAUAUUGCACAAUGGGGGAAACCCUGAUGCAGCGACGCCGCGUGAGUGAAGAAGUAUUUCGGUAUGUAAAGCUCUAUCAGCAGGGAAGAUAAUGACGGUACCUGAGUAAGGAGCCCCGGCUAACUACGUGCCAGCAGCCGCGGUAAUACGUAGGGGGCAAGCGUUAUCCGGAUUUACUGGGUGUAAAGGGAGCGUAGACGGCAUGGCAAGUCUGAAGUGAAAGCCCGUGGCUCAACCGUGGGACUGCUUUGGUGACUGUUAAGCUGGAGUGCAGGAGAGGG